UUAAGCCUACGGGACGCAAUAGUAGGGAAUUUUCGUCAAUGGGCGCAAGCCUGAACGAGCAAUGCCGCGUGAACGAGGAAGGUCUUCGGAUCGUAAAGUUCUGUUGAAGGGGAAAAAGAGCGGAGAGAGGAAAUGAACUCCGAUUGAUAUUACCCUUCGAGGAAGUCACGGCUAACUACGUGCCAGCAGCCGCGGUAAUACGUAGGUGGCGAGCGUUAUCCGGAAUGAUUGGGCGUAAAGGGUGCGUAGGCGGCCUGCUCAGUCUGGAGUGAGAGGGACCGGCUCAACCGGUACAGGCGCUGGAA
rnacentral:rRNA from 1 species